rnacentral:lncRNA from 1 species
CCUCGGCUCCUGCUCCAGCGGCACAAUGUGAUCCACCAGCUAGGAGGGACGCCAAUAAGGCGUCUGAUAAGAUAAGUCUUAUAAAAUAUAUAGAUGUAUGAUAAUUGAGACUGAGCUAACAGAUUGAUUCUGAAUCCUGGCACUUUGCUGAAUUUGUUUACCAUAUCUUCUGGUAAAACUGUUGAGAUCUUUAAUGUAUAGUAUCAUGGCAUCUGAAAACAGGUACAGUUAAACUUAUCUCCCUAUUUGUAUCCCUUUAAUAACCAUCUGUUGCCUUACUUUCAUCUAUCACUUCAAACACAGUGCUAAAAAUGAGUGGGGACAUUGGAUAGCCCUGUGUCAUUCUUGACUUCAGUGGAAUUGCUUCUAUUUGCUCUCUAUUCAUUUGGAUGAUGUGGGCUAGUGAAAUUUACAUAUAUAACUCAUAUUUAGGUAUGUUCCCUCUAGACCUACAUUCUCUAAGUUUGUUUAUCCUGAAGGAAAUGUGUGUGUGUGUGUGUGUGUGUGUGUGUGUGUGUGUGUGUGUGUGUGUGUGUAGAUCAUCUAUAUGUUGGACACCAUGGUCUUUUAGAACUCAUUUAGAACUUAAGGUUAGAAUAUAGAGGCAGAUUCUCAGUGUUCAAGAUCAUGCAGACAAAACUGAGUGCCAAGUCAGACCAUUAGCAGAGGGGUAGUGAACUAUGGUGUAUCAUGCCUACUGGCUGUUUACCUUAUGACCUCAAAGGUUGAGUCAGUGUCGAAGUUCUACAUAAGAAUGGAACUAAAAAAAUCUGGUAUUAAGAUAAAGGUGUAAAGGUCACUUAAAAAUCAAUGUUUCAUAACUUCCUUUGGAAAUGAUAACAUUUGGAAAGCUUAUAAGUAGUUUUCCACAAAGAUGAUUUAGUAGCAUCACAACACGAAAUUUUUGCUUAAACUAAACAUACCACAACAAGGGUCUAAAUGAUGAUGGAGCAUCAUGUUUCAAAUGCUAAAUUAAAAACAACAUGGGAUGCUUGUUUUCAGAUUCACAAAUUAAAUGUUGGCAACAACCUCUAGGUAAUGGUGGCACACCUGAACUGUGAGACUUGCCUGAGCUACAUGAGACCCUAUUGCAGUAGAACCAAGGAGACUAACCCCACAUCAGCAAUCACAGCAAAGGCAACUGAACAUGUGUUAAAGAAUAAUCAUAAUAAUUAUGAUAGUAAUAUUCACCAUGACUCACCUGAAUUUAUUAAUUCUGUGGCAUGCAUUGUGAAUUGUAGCAUUUACUAUUCAUGACAACUGAGAUAAAUAUUCUACUGCCCUUGUUUCAAAGACAAGGGGAUUUAGAAAAGUUAGAUACUCUGCUCAAUAAAUCAAGAGGUUAGAAAUGACAGGAAUGAUGAUAAAAUUUAAACUAUAAUAAUCUUCAGACAUAUUUUCAUCAGAUUUAAAACUCCAAGAUCUUGAGAACUCUUGUAAUGUGUUGCAAUUGGGAUUGCCUGUGUGAGAGUAAGAAACAUGCAACAUAAUAAAAUUUUUGGAUGAGAAACUUAAGUCCUCAUAGAGAAAAAUCACAUUAAGAUCAAGAUCAACUAGCCUAAAAAUAUAAUUUCAAAUAUUUGUACCUUAGCUUAGUAAAAUAAUGGUUAGUUAAUGAACACUUGUUGAGUAACAGACCUAAUAUUAGAUUCUAUUUAUAAAUUAGUUUAUGUGAUGUUCAAAACUACCCUAGAAGUCAUGCCUAGAAGGCAGAAGAGUCAGAAUUCAAAUGAUAAUCCUUGAUCUGAACUAGAAUGUUAUCAGUCACCAUGCUGUGAAUAGUGGCAUUUGCACACUUUCAACCCCUCAGAUCCUAUUUUCUAGGCAUUUCUUACUAGUGAACUUUGAGGAAAUAAGUUCCUUGCUAUAUCAUCCAGAAAAAUAUAUGAAAAGUUGUUGGACACUGUAGAUGAAUGUGGACCUCAGGAGAUUGUCUACAAAGUCAGUUGCUUUCUGUUGUAUGUCUCAGAGGCACUGAUUUAGAUCCCAAGUCUCAGAUAUGAGAGAUGAAGAACAACCCAUGUUGUUCUUGAGAAGGAAACCCUUUGGAUGGCUUCCAGGUCCCAUCAUCCAUCUAACCACUGGUUUCAUGCUGUCAGCUGUCAAUGGUUUUUAUGCCCAAACUUCUGUUCUCAGGAAGCCACUGUGUGUCUAGAAUAUGCAGAGCCAUCUUUAUUCACCUUCACUUCUCCCCCAGGAAUCUCACAGUAGAGACUUCUGGUCUACCAUCUGGCUCCACUUCAGUCUGUUCCCAGACCCAGUUCUCUGAUAGCUAACCCUUGUAGGACUAUCUGACAAUCUUGUGUAUUAUAACAAUAUUUCAAACUUGAGAAUAAAUUACAGAUAUGAGUAAUACAGGAGAGAAACCCAAGGAAGAAAUAAAUGGCAUAUAGAUAAUUACAAAACAAACAUUUUCAUCACAGUUGUGCUUUGCUCAAGCCCAUGGGAGGCCUGCCCCUUUCUGAACAGAGAAAGAGGACUAGUGGAAGGGGUGAGGAGUAGAGUGUUGGAAGAGUGGGGGAAUGGGGAAAUGGGAGGAGAGGAGAGAGGGGAAACUGAGGUCAGUAUGUAAAAUAAAUGAAAAAGUGAUAUUUAAGUAAAAUAAAAAAUAAAAACAUACACACAGGAGGAGAGGGAGAGGGAGGAGGGAUUGACAUGUGAAGAAAGCUUUUUCCUAAUUUGAACUAAUAAAAAAAUUACAAAAAAACCCCACACACAUACAUACAAAAAAGAAAGAAAUUGCUUUCCUAUUUUACAGCUACUGACUUUACAGAGGUAAAACCAACACAGACCAUGGCAACUGUAGAUUUCAUAAAAUUGUACCACAUUUUUACAAGGAAGGAUGCUUGAUGGGAAAAUCUACUCACUGCAAAUGUCAACUGUGUUACUUUAUGUAAGCACUAUAACACCUUCAAAUAGAUCAGCAUUUGCUAAACUACUGAUAAAGAUAUCAAUUAAGGCAUCAAUAAAUUUUUUCUCAGAUGGAUCUUUCCAAUCAAUGAGAAAGUAGAAAUCCUUCAGAUUGUGUCAUUAAAUAGCAUGUCAUAUCAUUAGAUAGCAGGGUACUUUUAUGUUCUUACCAGUCUUGGUGAGACUAAUGAAGUCCCCUCUAGAAGAACUCUGUCAGUUUGGGGUUAUAUCUCAGUGAAUUGGAUGUGUGCUGGUCUUCUGAACAAAGUGUCCCAGGAAAAGGAAUGAGUUGUUGUCACUAGAAGUUGCCCAGCAGUACCACUCACAGUUUUCUGAAACAGAAGGCGGUAAAGAGAAAUAAGACCUGGAAUUGCAGAGCCCCACAGUCACGCUUUCAAAAUUGCCUGCACUCAUUUAUCCACAUAAUGGUGGUAGCUUAUAUUUCUGCACAUCUCAUAGUUUUUAUUUUUUUCAUUAUUUCUUUAAUUUUUCAGACUCUAAUAUAAUUAAAUUAUUUAUGUCUUCUGUUUCCUCACUCCAAACUCCCCCAGAUACUCUUCCUUGCUCUCCUUCACAUCUGUGGCCUCUUUUUCAUUAAUUAUUGUUAGAUGCAUAUGUGCAGUUUUGUAUAUAUUCCUAAAUAUAACUUGUCCAUUAUAUACAAUGUUACCCACAAAUGAACAGACCACAGAGUUGUAGAGUCCAGUCCUCAUGCAUACAUCAACAAAACAACUCAUGUUUCUUGUAUUUUUAACAAAUACUCUAACUAGAGUAGCCAACAAUGCUGUUUUACAUGUUAAUGAAAAAUAAAGUAUCAAUAAUGCCAAGAUUCCAAAUAAAUUUGUUAUGCCUCAGGUAACAGUGAACUACAAUUAUUCUUGUUGAUCUUUUACAUACUGAGCAUAUUUAACCUACAGUUUUGCCAUUAGAUAAAGUCUAAGACUUUAAAAAUAAUUAUUAUAAUAGUCAUUAUGAUAACAUCCAGUAGUACUUCUCGAGUGUGGGGCCAUGAUUAUGUAAAAGAAGGUUUGCUUGUGCCAUAAACAUUGUGAGACUAGACACCCUGUGAUUUCUAAGUAACCAAAAAGUGGGUAUCAUAUAUAACACAGAUUAGCUGGCCAACGGGAUAAUUAACACUCAUGAAGGAUGUGUCAAGAUCACAUGACAUUUCAUCAUGAUAUCCAGAACAGUGUGUAAUUUAAAUGUACAAAAUACUGAUUUCUGGAAUUUUCUAUUUAGUAUUUUAGUCUAUGACCAACUGUGAGUAACUAAAACUGAAUAAAAAGUGUGAAUAUCAAUAAGAGGAAAAUACUAUAUAUUGUAAGUAAACAGUGAGAUCUUGGCAUCAUAUGGUCAGAGUUCUUGAGAUUUUGUGACAGCCAAGCCACAUAUUUGACAUCUUUGGGAAAACUGCAUAUUCUAUGUAGACACCUGUGAAACAACAGAAUUAAGUUGCCCUGAUUCAAGCUCUUUAUAGUAUUCAAUGAAUACUAUACCUAUCUGUAACUCAGACUCUUUCUCCUUCCUUCCUUCUUCCUUUCUUUCUGUCUCUUUUCUCUUCUGUCUCUGUGGUUCUCUCUCUGUCCCUCUGUCUCCUUAUCCCUCUAUGUCUCUGUCCCUCUGUGUUUGUGUUCCUCUUUCUCUAUGUCUGUCUCUCUGUCGCUCUGUUCUGUCUCUCUGUAUGUAUCUCUCUCUUUCUGUGUGUCUGUCUCUCUCACUCUCCCUCUCUCCUUCCCUCCCUCCCUCCCUUUCUUUCCCACCUCCCUCCCUUCCCCUUCCUCCUCUCUCUCUCUCUCUCUCUCUCUCUCUCUCUCUCUCUCUCUCUUUCUCUCUCCUAUUGUUGUUUAAAACUUAUGAAGGAGGAGAAAGGUGGUGCUAUUUACCAAUCAUGUAAUAUAAAGCCUUUAGCUGGUGCUUUUAAGAAAUCAUCUCAGUACUUAUAAUAGAUGAGAUGUCUUUAUUUCUGCUUUACAAAUAAAAGCUAUGAACCACCAAAUUUAGAAAUGUGCCAAAGUCAGAUGAAAAGAAAACAAUGGAUCUGGGACUUCAACCAUGCCUGUCGGACUUUCAAUGCCCAUGCUAUUUCUGGCCUCUUUCUCUGCUUCAUUCCUCCACCCCUUUUACACUGUCUCUUGUUUGUUUGCUUUUGGUUGGUUGGUUGGGUUCUGUUGUUAUUCCUUGGUGUUUUGCUUGUUUGUUUGUUUUGUUAUUCUUUUGGCUUGAUUUAGUUUAGUUUUGUUUAGAGACAGAAUUUUGCUAAUCUUGAACUUGUAAUUGUCCAGCCACCACCUCCAGAGCUGGGAUUACAGACAUAUUCCACAAAGCCUGGCUGUGGAGUCUUCACUACUUAAGAGAAGUACACUACUUUUUUUUAAAAGGUGGAUUAAUUUCCAUGAAAAAAGUUUGCUUGAUCCAAAAAUAUUGCAUUAAUUCUGUAAAUAAAUUAAAUAUUCUAUAGGGAGAAUCAAAUGUCUGAAAUACCAACUUGAAUUUCCAUCUAAAUACGAAAGAAUGCAUAUAGGAGGAAAAAGUAAAGACAAAAAUAAAAAGUAACAAAAGUAAAUCAGAAAACAGAACUCAAAAAGCAAUAGCCUGGUUGUUUAAAAUGUAACUUUAACAAAGUAAGCAAAAACAUAAAACUGACUGGAAAAAUAUGAAAGAAGGUAAAACUAUAAAAAAUGAGAAAUUACAUAGGAAUUAUUGAAAAUGAAAUAAAAUAAAAUUAUGGGAACUACUCUAUAGGCAUCAAUGCACACAUUUGAAAACCUAGAAAAUCAACAACUUUCAGGUGAAAUGUAGACAAACUGAAUUGGUAAGCAAGAGAUAGAGAUGUCUCUACCUAUGGUUGAUAUGGCCCCAAAUAUUAAAAUAGUCAAUACAGUAACAUAAAAUUAAAUUCAGAAAUUCAAAGAUAUUAUUUACCUUGCAUUACAAAUAAGUAGUCACACUUAAGGAUCUGAGAAAGAAUGGACCCAAACCAAGUAACUUUCAGAAACAUUACCAUGACCACAUAAGUUUUAUGAUUAAGUUUAAUGAUGAGGAAAUGUGUGCAUACACACUGCACUCAAGGUAAAGGUUUACUUUUCAUAGUGGUAUGAAACUGUAAGUGUGAAAGUUCUUCAUGGGGCCAUUGAGUGCCGUGCGACUGAUUAAAUAUAUUGAUGAAAAAACAGAGAAUUUUCUCAGUCUGAAUAAAGCAGAUAUGAAAAGGGAUCAAACACUUUGAUAUAAGACAUAUCACUUUGAAAGUGCUACAGGAAAACACUUCACAAUGCAGCCAAAGACUUUAGAAUAAAUGCAAAACACAUUACAACAUAGGGACAGGCAAGAAUUCUGAAAUGAACACCAGAAGACCCCCCGAAAUGAUAACAACAAUUAUCAAACAGGAUUGCAUGGAGCAAAAAGACCACCAAUAGAAUGGGAGAAAUUUUGUGGCCACCAGACAUUUGAUAGAGGAUUUAGAAUACAUAAAACUUCCAAAACCCAAGUACCCAACACCCACACACCCAACCAACAAAUGGGCAAUUCAGUUAGACACUUCCCAAAAGAAGUACAUGUGACCUGUGCGUGUAUAAAAAAAUGCUCAACACGUUUAACCACCCUGGAAAUUCAAGUCAGAAUUACACUGAUAUUCUACCUCACCCUGUCAGAAUGUCAUCAUCAGGAAAGAAAAGAAUAAAUGCUGGUAAGUAUGUGGGGGAAAGAAGUUUUAUGCAUUGUUAUAGGAAUGUAAGGAAGUAAAAAUCAGUGUGGUGUUUCCUCAAAAAAAAAAAAAUCAAAGAGAUACUAUAUUAUACAGCUAUUGCACUACUGGGCACACAGUUAGAGGAAUCUAAGUCAACAUUCCUCAGAGAUACAUACACUCCAACAUUUAGGACUGUUCAAGAUCAUCCAUCUGUCUAUCUACCUACCUGCCUACCUAUGUAUCUACUUAUCAUCUAUCCACCAAUCUAUCAUCUAUCUACCUACUUAUCUAUCAUCUAUAUAUCUACCUGUCAUUUACCUAUCUAUCUACCAUCUAUCAUCUAUCUAUCAGAUAUCAUCUAUCUAUAAACUAUCUAUCUAUAAGCUAUCUAUCUAUCUAUCUAUCUAUCUAUCUGUCAUCUCCUUCUCUCCCACCCUAAUGGAGGUUUAGUCAUAAAGAUGAAGAAAUUAUGUCAUUUGGAGAAAACAGAUAGAUCUGGUUAUCAUCAAACCAAUCAUAUAAGUCAGACUUAGAAUGAUAACAAUGCAUCCGUAUCAAUAAACAUAUAUAUGAAAGUCAAAGUUAGUAUCUGGGAAGAGAUAGGGAACCAUCAGGAGUAGGAAGAGGUAACAAGAGAAGCUAAGUGUGUGGGGGAGAAUGUGAGCAAAGAAAUGACAUAUAUGAAAAUGCCAUCAUGUAACAUAAUUUUGUACAAUAAAUAUAUUCUAGUAAUAUUUUUGAAGCAGUUACAUGUAACAGAAAGGGAACUGUUGAGAAAGGAGGCAUCAAUGAGACAGAAAUGUGCAUCUUUAUGUGAACGGUGACAUGGAAGGUACAGCUGUGUGCCUCUGUGUGUGGCUGUGAUUACACACUUCCUCUCCAAGUCAGUGGCAACAAAGCAAUGAGCACACUUGCUAUCCAGACCUUGGUUUCCAGUGAUCCAUCCUCAGCAAAAAGACUCAAGGGUCUUGGAGGAAAUAGUUGAUUUUGGAAAAAAAUGGAGAGGAACAAGUAGAGGAAAGCAAAAAAAAAAAAAAAAAAAAGAUGAGAGACUACAAGAGACUCAAGAGACUACAAGAUCUUGUGUUGCUGAGAGCGAGCAGAAACUCAGCAGUCAAUAGCACAUGAUAGGGACACAGGACCCAACCAGAGGGUGUUUCCAAUGGCCCAAUCUAGAGUAGUGUGAGCAGAAUGAACUAAAUGCCCGACAGCUGCUCUGUAUGUGUGUGAUCAACUGAAUAAGUGAGAAUGAACUCUUUCUCAGAGUAGAAGUCACAUGAAAAGUGAUGGGAAAUUGAAACACAGAAACAAUGGGGAAAGAAAAUGGCAUUGACAGAAACACUAUCAAUUGUUUUGAAGGCAAAAAUCACUACUAGGUAUUAAAAGUAGUGAGAAAACAAAACAGGAAAAAAUAGGAUAUUGGAUAGUCCCAGGCAGCCUUCCCACAAGACACUUAGUAGCUAAUAGAGAAAGAAGAGUGUAAAUUGACAGUGAAGAAAAUGACAGACACCACAGCAACCAAGUUAGCAAAUGUCACCCCACUAGGCAUCAGAUAAUUCAACCUCCUGGACAAGGUCACACCUUGGUUUCUAUGAUAUUCAGACAAAGAAUGAACAGUGUAAACUUAGAAAGGAAAACUUUACAAAGCAAUUGAGGGACAGUCUCCAAAGCAACUAGCCAACACUCUUGCAAAGCAUCGAGGGUAAGAAGGAGAUGGUCUGGGGGCAUUCUCUAAGUCCAAGAAGGAUGGAGCCACGAGAAUAAAUGGAAAACAUGCACCAGCCAAGAAAUACUACAAGUGUAUCAUGGUGGCAACAUUCCAAGCAGGUUAUAAAUAAGAUCAAUAUUCAUGGUUUUAUAAUUAUAGCAUAGUUAUGUAAGGGGUUGACAUUUGAUGAAGGUGCUAAGCUUGUGGAAAUUGUGUCAUUUUAAAAGUUACUUUAUAGAUCUUAAACGCCAAUGCAAUCACAUUUCUAUUGCAUAAUUAUAAAAUGUCAGACUUUCCUGGGGAUAUCUAAUCCAGUCACCAAACAGUUAGCUUGAAGUCUCUAAAAUGAGACCAUUCUCACAUUUUUUUUUUCUGUAGAGUCCCACUCUUCUACAUAUCAUACUGAAUCUACCACUGACAAAUGAAUGUGGGUUCCAGUACCACUUUCAACCAACAAAAUCCAGGAUGCUCAGAGUUCUCAUGGUUCUCUUUCUCACCCAAAGGAAGGAAACAUACAGUUCUGUCAGAGGGGCUACACCUUAUUUGUGAAUGAGGAGUAAAACUGUGGUACAGAAACGUUCACCAGAAGGGAACGUUUGGAGAAAAAUACCACAUUUGUGUUCCUAGAAAAGUUCGCACAACUUAGGGAACAGCAUCAAGCUAUUUAUUUGAGUCAAUGGUUUCAUCAAAAUAAGGUUACAUCUCCUGUAUUCCAUUUAGCUCUUUGUCUAGGAAGAUGCUGUGGGAGACAUUUCUAUACUUAGGCUGAGACCUUAACCCAAGGAUGGAGGGGAUUUCCUGGUUCCCAAGUGACAGCUCUAUUGGCAAUGUAGAAAGAUCCAUUUUAUUAACCAUGCAAAGAAUUCCUAACUUCAGGAAAACACACCACACCACACACACACACACACACACACACACACCUUCCCUUACCAUCAUACCCUUCCUGCUUCUGCAAACUCCUCACCAUGGCCUGAAGACCUCUGCCUCCCCAAAGUCCUAUUGAUCAAGUUCAAAGCAUUUGCUUAGUUACCUGCUUUGUGAAUGUCAUUGCUUUGUUUGCAGCAAAGAAUGUCCCAUGGUCCUUGCUUGUUUGUUUUAUCAAGUGGCCGCCAUUAUAUGACAUUUACUCCUCUUAUUCAUCUAACUCUUCCCAACAUCAUGUCUUUUCCACAAGCUGUCCCAUUUAAAUUAAGAAAAGCUAGCCUCCCUUUACCCCAAGUGCCACCCCACAGGGGUCUGUCCUCACUGCCUCCUGAUGUGCCUGGAUUUUACUCUCAUCUGAAUUACUGCUUUUCUGCCAAUGAUUUUUUUUUUUCUAUUUGUGAUCCGCCAUUACUCUUGUACAUGCUGGUGAAAAUUCCUACUGGCACAGGCUGCUUAUGAGAUCCUGAACAUUGUAAAAGAAAGCUCUAACACCCUAUAUGGGUAUGGCGAGCAUGCACCCCCAGGUUACGGUGCUCCUCGAGUUAUUUCAAAAAGGUUUUUGGACAGAACUUCAUAUCAGAAGUACAUAGCCAAGUCAGUCAUCGUAUGCAAGAAAGCAAUCCCUGGAGCAAAGAUUCCUGGUGAUCUGUGUUGCCUCUGCUUUAAGUGAUCUGCUGCAGACUGAAGAUGUAUGUCUCCACCCACAGAACACACAGUUGCUGACAUCACACUCUGCUCUGUCUUAUUCUUCCAUUCUCCAUACGUCCCAAGAGAGUAGUUGGCUCUUAAUAAAGGCUUCUCACUGAUUAUGGUCAGCCAGCCACAGCUCCUUAAGGACUCUGCCCAAGUUGACAUGACCUGACUACAAUUGUUGCUUCAUCUGUUCAGAACUGCAAGCAGCACUGAGACUGAACCUAGCAGUAAGCAAAACAAUUGUAGUGAGGGCACCUCCUGGCUCCCAAGAGGCAGCAACUCCAUGUGGCUAGCAGCGUUUUUUUUUUUUGUUUUUUGUUUUGUUUUUUGUUUUUUGUUUUUGUUUUCGCUUUUGUUUGUUUAUUUGUUUUUGCUUUUAUCCA